rnacentral:rRNA from 1 species
ACGUACACUCCUGCGGGAGGCAGCAGUGGGGAAUUUUGGACAAUGGGCGAAAGCCUGAUCCAGCCAUGCCGCGUGCAGGAUGAAGGCCUUCGGGUUGUAAACUGCUUUUGUACGGAACGAAACGGCCUUUUCUAAUAAAGAGGGCUAAUGACGGUACCGUAAGAAUAAGCACCGGCUAACUACGUGCCAGCAGCCGCGGUAAUACGUAGGGUGCAAGCGUUAAUCGGAAUUACUGGGCGUAAAGCGUGCGCAGGCGGUUAUGUAAGACAGUUGUGAAAUCCCCGGGCUCAACCUGGGAACUGCAUCUGUGACUGCAUAGCUAGAGUACGGUAGAGGGGGAUGGAAUUCCGCGUGUAGCAGUGAAAUGCGUAGAUAUGCGGAGGAACACCGAUGGCGAAGGCAAUCCCCUGGACCUGUACUGACGCUCAUGCACGAAAGCGUGGGGAGCAAACAGGAUUAGAAACCCCAGUAGUCCCA